UUGCCAAUUUGUAUGUUGUUAUCGGUGGUUAACCUUCACCUUGAAAACGAUUUUAAUUUUUCGGAACAAAAAACAUGACAUCUGUGGUGACAUUGCACAAUAGCUACUGGCCUUGUUAUUAUUCUUCUUCCAAAGCAAAUAUUGUUGAUUCGAAUUGCAAAUAUUAUUUAUCAAAAUAUUUGGUGAAAAUAUUAACUUUCGGCAGAUAUGCGUACCAGUUUGAAGAUAUGCCGAUACAUACGAAAAAACUGUAUCAAAUGAAACGAAGCGAUUGCUUGGUCGUUGGCACCUGUUUCGUUGGACAAUCAUGCUGCUCCAAACGUUGUGAUUUGUACACCCAUAAAUGUAUUGUUUAAAUAAAUUUGAAAUAAAUAUUA